GGUACUCUCUUCUUUUCCAGCGACCACCACAGCGCCUCUCUCUUGAUAAACCACCAUCAAUUAAUUAAGUGACACGUCGGUAUGACUGAGAUUCUAUUUACUGCCUGAGUUCCAAAACAAGUGGGUGGGAAGAUUCGGAAGAAACAAUAAAAAUGGCAGCAAUCUGUUGUAUUCGAGUCUCAACCCAACCUUCUCCUGCAAGUAAUUUAAGGUUUCAAUGCUGGGCUAGUUCAAAGAACAAAAGAAGAGAUACAGCUCCGUGUAUUCUAAAGAUAGCAGUGAGUGGGAUUACAGAAAUUCUUAGAAUUUUCUCUCCAAGCAAUCCAAACCGGACUUAUUUACAACAAGGAUUGGAUACUACUGUGAAUAAUGUCAAGAAAGAUGAAACUUUGGUUUCUGGUAUAGAUGAUAUUGUGUCGAUCCUUCAAUCAGAUUAUGAGAAGGCUUAUUUUCUUACAGGGAAUUUUAGUUCGGCAAUUUAUACUGAAGAUUGCAUCUUUGAAGACCCAACUAUUAAAUUCAGUGGUAGAGAUCUCUAUUCGCGCAAUUUGAAGUUGCUUGUGCCGUUUUUCGACUCUCCUUCACUUGUACUACAACGGAUUGAGAAGGAUAUGAGUUCCGAAGUAAAUUAUGUGCUAGCAACAUGGAAAUUAAGAACCUAUCUGAGACUUCCAUGGAGGCCUCUGAUUUCUAUAGAAGGAAGUACAGUUUAUGACUUGAAUGAUGAGUUCAAAAUCUUUAGACAUUGCGAGAGUUGGAAUAUCUCUGCUCUAGAAGCUGUUGGCCAAAUAUUCAAUUUUAGCUUUGAAAGUAGUGGUGAAUGAGCACUGGGUGGCUGUACCAAGAGAUCUGGGGUUCAAAUCCUAUUUAAACGAGGGGUUUCUUUGUUUCCUUACAUAAGUUGGGUUUUAUUGCCGAGGAAAACUGCUGUCAGGGUUUCAUGAAGAGAGAAGAGUAGGUGCUAAGGAAAGAGCCAUGAAAGUGAAAGUUAAAAAAAAGUACAGGUCCAUAAAGAAGUAAGAAAAAGUUUGAUUCUAUGAAGACGUGGCGCAUUUCUAUACGUUGGAUUGAAUGAGAAAACAAAAGUGUAAAAAAGUGGUGCUUUUAGAUGGCUGUAUUCUUCGUUGUGCUUGUAAGGUUAUGGAAGAAGUGUUACGUAACUUGUGUUAAGUGUUUCCUUAACAUAGAAGAGAGAGACUCACUCUAGACUAGAGUGAUUGCCAGCAAGUUGAAGGGAAGAGCCGUUGGAGCAAAUGCUUCUUCUUUUUCUCUUUAGGUUUUUAAUUGAUUGUGUUGCGUUUGUCCUUGUGGUUGCACGAUAACCUCCUCAUACCUAAUUACGAAAAGAUUUCUACUUAGUAAACUAAAAUGCCACUCGGUAAAGAUGAAUCAUAUAGAUAUUGCACGAUAGAUUAUCUUCAAGUAAUUUGUUCAUUAUGUUUUCUGUAAUUUGGUUUUGAGUUGGGUGCCUAAUACGAUUUCAUAUUUUCCUCGAGACCUGAUCAUAAUG